UGGUUCAUUAGUUGCUUUAUCCUUUCAAUGCAACUCAAGUUAUGGAGUACGCUCACCUUCUUGCGAAAACCUGGUAUUAUCACUCAUUGAUAGUGAUUCGGUAUCGCACAAUGGAAUAUCUCUAAAUUACCAUCUCAGUGAAUUAAUGCAAUUUGUAGUUUACAUCCUGGGACGAUGGUUCCCCUCACGCAGAUUUCUGAAAGGACGCUACUUCUUCUUCUGAUGAUGAUUUAUGAAUCUGUCGGUUCGCCGGAACUCGUCUGUCCGGAUGUCGGCUAUCUUGGUUCUCCUGCUCAUCUGACGUGCAUCCCGCCAAGUAAUAUAACUUCACAUGGCUAUACAACAUCGCGAAGAGAAGUCGCCGCCAUCUGCAGUUUAUCUAGCUCAUCAUGUACACCAUUGGGCAACUACAUGGCAUCUACCAUCAACCAGACACACAGUAGCCUCACCAUACCCGCAGUACAACAAGCACAUGCUGGGUUGUGGACGUGUAUUAUCCCACCUUCGUCUCCACUAUCCUGCAACUUUGCUG